GGGGCGGUAGCUCAGCUGGGAGAGCACCUGGUUUGCAACCAGGGGGUCGUGGGUUCGAAUCCCAUCCGCUCCA
rfam:Gemmatimonadetes bacterium GWC2_71_10 gwc2_scaffold_19385, whole genome shotgun sequence.